ACCUACUGUUUAAUUUUGAGGGUUCGUUUUUACGAAUACUCAAAAUUAGCACUUUAAGCAACAGAAUAAACUGAACGCAUGUGAAGUUUGUUUGUUGGCGCUGUGUGUUAGCACUUUAAGCAACGGGAUUUAUCCGUUGGCGCUGUGCUUUAGCACUUUAAGCAACGGAAUUUAUUCGUUGGCGCUGUGCAUUAGCACUUUGAAAACUGCAUAUAUAUAUUUAGUGAUAUGACAUCUAAUUUGUAAUAUAAAGCUGAUAACUUUUUAAAAUUAUCGAAGUUGAUAGCUUCUAAUCUAUCAAACCUUUUUAACUGGUCAA
rnacentral:misc_RNA from 1 species